AGUAGUGCAUUAGGUUUAAAAUCUAAAAAUGAUUAAAAUAUUAAAAAUCCUAUAUUA
rnacentral:tRNA from 1 species